GUGGGUUUGGAUCCCAACCAACCACAUGUACGUUAAUGCACAUUGCAGCAUUUGCUCUGGAAACAGAAUGAUCAAAAUGCCAUGACAGUAUAGAAGCUGUCUCGUGGGAAAUGAACUGUAUUUUCACACUGCGAGGAUGAUGAUAUACACGUCCAGCUUACAUGCCAGCAACAAAGCGCUAGAGCAACCUAGAAAGAGAAGAGUACUACUGUUCCUGAAAAGGCGAAAAGCUACCUCACACGGUCCGGGGCAACGCGAAACCACGGCGCUCCCACAGACCCCCCGCUUGACCUCCCUGUACUGCCCCGCCCGCUGCCCUUACGCGGCUCCGCCCACCCUCGUUGCAACAGCAAUCAGAUCGCACGUGACCCUGGAUUCCAAUUCUAUUGGGCAAGAUGAGGAGG